AUUGAACGCUGGCGGCAGGCCUAACACAUGCAAGUCGAACGAGUGGCGGACGGGUGAGUAAUGUCUGGGAAACUGCCCGAUGGAGGGGGAUAACUACUGGAAACGGUAGCUAAUACCGCAUACCAUCGGAUGUGCCCAUAUGGGAUUAGCUAGUAGGUGGGGUAAGGGCUGACCUAGGCGACGAUCCCUAGCUGGUCUGAGAGGAUGACCAGCAAAACUGGAAAGGAGACACGGUCCAGACGCCUACGGGAGGCAGCAGAGGGGAAUAUUGCACAAGGGGCGCAAGCCUGAUGCAGCCAUGCGGCGUGUAUGAAGAAGGCCUUCGGGUUGUAAAGUACUUUCAGCGAGGAGGCGUUACGCGCAGAAGAAGCACCGGCUAAAUCCGUGCCAGCAGCCGCGGUAAUAC
rnacentral:rRNA from 1 species